rnacentral:rRNA from 1 species
UCCUACGGGGGGCAGCAGUGAGGAAUCUUGCGCAAUGGGGGAAACCCUGACGCAGCAACGCCGCGUGAGUGAGGAAGGUCUUCGGAUCGUAAAGCUCUGUCGGAUGGGAAGAAAUGCAUGGAAGCCAAUACCUUUCAUGCUUGACGGUACCAUCAAAGGAAGCACCGGCUAACUCCGUGCCAGCAGCCGCGGUAAUACGGGGGGUGCAAGCGUUGUUCGGAAUCAUUGGGCGUAAAGGGCGUGUAGGCGGCUAGAUAAGUCAGAUGUGAAAUCCCUGGGCUUAACCCAGGACGUGCAUUUGAAACUGUUUGGCUUGAGUAGGGGAGAGGAAAGUGGAAUUCCUGGUGUAGAGGUGAAAUUCGUAGAUAUCAGGAGGAACACCGGUGGCGAAGGCGACUUUCUGGCCCUAUACUGACGCUGAGACGCGAAAGCGUGGGUAGCAAACAGGAUUAGAUACCCCAGUAGUCCC